rnacentral:lncRNA from 1 species
UUAUUUAUGAAAUUAGUUUUUUUAGAAGAUGUUAGCAUCAUAAAAUAUUAAAAAAUAUCUUCAAUAAAUAUAAAAAUAUAUCACUUAUCACACUCUUCAAUUUGAACUUUGCUCAUCCUUGAGUAAAAAAAGAAUUUAGAAUUAAGUAUCAUUUAAUUUAAAGUUUCGAAUUUCACCAAAUAAUUUUAUAAAGAGCCACUGAUGUCC